rnacentral:rRNA from 1 species
CGCAGUAGGAUAGGCGAAGCGUGCGAUUGGAUUGCACGUCUAAGCAGUAAGGCUGAGUAUUAGGCAAAUCCGGUACUCGUUAAGGCUGAGCUGUGAUGGGGAGAAGACAUUGUGUCUUCGAGUCGUUGAUUUCACACUGCCGAGAAAAGCCUCUAGAUAGAAAAUAGGUGCCCGUACCGCAAACCGACACAGGUAGUCAAGAUGAGAAUUCUAAGGUGAGCGAGCGAACUCUCGUUAAGGAACUCGGCAAAAUGACCCCGUAACUUCGGGAGAAGGGGUGCUCUUUAGGGUUAACGCCCAGAAGAGCCGCAGUGAAUAGGCCCAAGCGACUGUUUAUCAAAAACACAGGUCUCUGCUAAACCGUAAGGUGAUGUAUAGGGGCUGACGCCUGCCCGGUGCUGGAAGGUUAAGAGGAGUGGUUAGCUUCUGCGAAGCUACGAAUCGAAGCCCCAGUAAACGGCGGCCGUAACUAUAACGGUCCUAAGGUAGCGAAAUUCCUUGUCGGGUAAGUUCCGACCCGCACGAAAGGCGUAACGAUUUGGGCACUGUCUCAACGAGAGACUCGGUGAAAUCAUAGUACCUGUGAAGAUGCAGGUUACCCGCGACAGGACGGAAAGACCCCGUGGAGCUUUACUGUAGCCUGAUAUUGAAAUUCGGCACAGCUUGUACAGGAUAGGUAGGAGCCUUUGAAACGUGAGCGCUAGCUUACGUGGAGGCGCUGGUGGGAUACUACCCUAGCUGUGUUGGCUUUCUAACCCGCACCACUUAUCGUGGUGGGAGACAGUGUCAGGCGGGCAGUUUGACUGGGGCGGUCGCCUCCUAAAAGGUAACGGAGGCGCUCAAAGGUUCCCUCAGAAUGGUUGGAAAUCAUUCAUAGAGUGUAAAGGCAUAAGGGAGCUUGACUGCGAGACCUACAAGUCGAGCAGGGUCGAAAGACGGACUUAGUGAUCCGGUGGUUCCGCAUGGAAGGGCCAUCGCUCAACGGAUAAAAGCUACCCCGGGGAUAACAGGCUUAUCUCCCCCAAGAGUUCACAUCGACGGGGAGGUUUGGCACCUCGAUGUCGGCUCAUCGCAUCCUGGGGCUGUAGUCGGUCCCAAGGGUUGGGCUGUUCGCCCAUUAAAGCGGUACGCGAGCUGGGUUCAGAACGUCGUGAGACAGUUCGGUCCCUAUCCGUCGUGGGCGUAGGAAAUUUGAGAGGAGCUGUCCUUAGUACGAGAGGACCGGGAUGGACAUACCUCUGGUGUACCAGUUGUCGUGCCAACGGCAUAGCUGGGUAGCUAUGUGUGGACGGGAUAAGUGCUGAAAG